GAUGAAGAACGUAGCGAAAUGCGAUAAUUAAUGUGAAUUGCAGAAUUCCGUGAAUCAUCGAGUCUUUGAACGCACAUUGCGCCCCCCGGCAUUCCGGGGAGCAUGCCUGUUCGAGCGUCUCCAGGACGAAUCCUCGCGCGAGUGAACGCGCGGUCGUGGCGGAGGUGGCGUGCCCGAGCAGGGCGGCCACCGCGCUGGAAUCCAUGGGCGGACGCCUGCCGCGUGGCCGAGCGUGAUAUGACGCAUUGGCGCUCGUGCGCGGCGAGGCUGCCAGCCCUGGCCCGUCUGUCGGGCGGGGUAGAUCACCACGUGGGAACUCCUCGAAUCAGGUAGGGAUACCCGCUGAACUUAAGCAUAUCAAUAAGCGGAGGA
rnacentral:misc_RNA from 1 species